rnacentral:rRNA from 1 species
GUGGGGAAUUUUGCGCAAUGGGCGAAAGCCUGACGCAGCAACGCCGCGUGGAGGAUGAAGGCCUUCGGGUCGUAAACUCCUGUCGAUGGGGACGAAGUUCCGAAAGGGAUUGACUGUACCCGUUGAGGAAGCCACGGCUAACUCCGUGCCAGCAGCCGCGGUAAUACGGAGGUGGCAAGCGUUGUUCGGAAUUACUGGGCGUAAAGGGCGCGUAGGCGGCAUAACAAGUCAGAUGUGAAAGCCCCGGGCUUAACCUGGGAACUGCAUCUGAAACUGUAUUGCUUGAGUUCUGGAGGGGGUAGUGGAAUUCCCAGUGUAGCGGUGAAAUGCGUAGAUAUUGGGAGGAACACCUGCGGCGAAGGCGGCUACCUGGACAGUGACUGACGCUGAGGCGCGAAAGCUAGGGGAGCGAACGGGAUUAGAAACCCUAGUAGUCC